GGGUUGUUAGCUCAGCGGUAGAGCGCCGCCUUCACACGGCGGAGGUCAGUGGUUCGAAACCACUACGACCCACCA
rnacentral:tRNA from 1 species